GCUUAUAACACAAUUUGCAAAGUCGGAGCGGAUGAAGGGAGCUUGCUCCUGGAUUCAGCGGCGGACGGGUGAGUAAUGCCUAGGAAUCUGCCUGGUAGUGGGGGAUAACGUCCGGAAACGGGCGCUAAUACCGCAUACGUCCUGAGGGAGAAAGUGGGGGAUCUUCGGACCUCACGCUAUCAGAUGAGCCUAGGUCGGAUUAGCUAGUUGGUGGGGUAAAGGCCUACCAAGGCGACGAUCCGUAACUGGUCUGAGAGGAUGAUCAGUCACACUGGAACUGAGACACGGUCCAGACUCCUACGGGAGGCAGCAGUGGGGAAUAUUGGACAAUGGGCGAAAGCCUGAUCCAGCCAUGCCGCGUGUGUGAAGAAGGUCUUCGGAUUGUAAAGCACUUUAAGUUGGGAGGAAGGGCAGUAAGUUAAUACCUUGCUGUUUUGACGUUACCAACAGAAUAAGCACCGGCUAACUUCGUGCCAGCAGCCGCGGUAAUACGAAGGGUGCAAGCGUUAAUCGGAAUUACUGGGCGUAAAGCGCGCGUAGGUGGUUCAGCAAGUUGGAUGUGAAAUCCCCGGGCUCAACCUGGGAACUGCAUCCAAAACUACUGAGCUAGAGUACGGUAGAGGGUGGUGGAAUUUCCUGUGUAGCGGUGAAAUGCGUAGAUAUAGGAAGGAACACCAGUGGCGAAGGCGACCACCUGGACUGAUACUGACACUGAGGUGCGAAAGCGUGGGGAGCAAACAGGAUUAGAUACCCUGGUAGUCCACGCCGUAAACGAUGUCGACUAGCCGUUGGGAUCCUUGAGAUCUUAGUGGCGCAGCUAACGCGAUAAGUCGACCGCCUGGGGAGUACGGGCCGCAGGGUUAAAACUCAAUGAAUUGUCAGGGGCCCGCACAAGCGGUGGAGCAUGUGGUUUAAUUUCAAACAACGCGCAGAACCUUACCUGGGCUUGACAUGCUGAGAACUUUCCAGAGAUGUAUUGGUGCCUUCGGGAACUCAGACACAGGUGCUGCAUGGGCUGUCGUCAGCUCUGUCGUGAGAUGUUGGGUUAAGUCCCGUUACCACCCAACCUUGUCCUUAGUACGACUCUCGGUGGUCACUCUAGGAAACUGCCGUGACAACCCGGAGGAAGGUGGGAUGACGUUCAGUGUUAUGGGCCUUACGGCAAGGCAUACCACGUGCUGCAUGGGUCGGUACAUAGGG
rnacentral:rRNA from 1 species